rnacentral:rRNA from 1 species
UGGGGAAUAUUGGACAAUGGGCGAAAGCCUGAUCCAGCCAUGCCGCGUGUGUGAAGAAGGUCUUCGGAUUGUAAAGCACUUUAAGUUGGGAGGAAGGGCAGUAAGCGAAUACCUUGCUGUUUUGACGUUACCGACAGAAUAAGCACCGGCUAACUCUGUGCCAGCAGCCGCGGUAAUACAGAGGGUGCAAGCGUUAAUCGGAAUUACUGGGCGUAAAGCGCGCGUAGGUGGUUCGUUAAGUUGAAUGUGAAAGCCCCGGGCUCAACCUGGGAACUGCAUCCAAAACUGGCGAGCUGGAGUAGGGCAGAGGGUGGUGGAAUUUCCUGUGUAGCGGUGAAAUGCGUAGAUAUAGGAAGGAACACCAGUGGCGAAGGCGACCACCUGGGCUCAUUCUGACACUGAGGUGCGAAAGCGUGAGGAGCAAACAGG